rnacentral:rRNA from 1 species
GACGAACGCUGGCGGCGUGCUUAACACAUGCAAGUCGAACGAUCCCUUCGGGGAUAGUGGCGCACGGGUGCGUAACGCGUGGGAACCUGCCCUUAGGUUCGGAAUAACUCAGAGAAAUUUGAGCUAAUACCGGAUAAUGUCUUCGGACCAAAGAUUUAUCGCCUUUGGAUGGGCCCGCGUUGGAUUAGCUAGUUGGUGGGGUAAAGGCCUACCAAGGCGACGAUCCAUAGCUGGUCUGAGAGGAUGAUCAGCCACACUGGGACUGAGACACGGCCCAGACUCCUACGGGAGGCAGCAGUGGGGAAUAUUGGACAAUGGGCGAAAGCCUGAUCCAGCAAUGCCGCGUGAGUGAUGAAGGCCUUAGGGUUGUAAAGCUCUUUUACCCGGGAUGAUAAUGACAGUACCGGGAGAAUAAGCCCCGGCUAACUACGUG